AURCCCUAUUAUUUUUAUUGUAAAUGGAAUAAGCUAGAGUAAUAAUAGUUAUGGUCUUAAAACUUAAAGAAUUUGACGGUAUUAUAGUCUAUUUAGAGGAAUCUGUUAUAUAAUCGAUAAUCCACGUUAAACCUUACUUAUAUAUAUUUCUUGUAUACCGCUGUUUAAGAAUAUAUUUUUAGAUUAUUUUCUAAAUAUUAAAUUAAUUAAUACUUCAAGUCAAGGUGCAGUAAUUUAUAAGUUAAUUAAUGGAUUACAAUAGAAUUUAUUUAUUUAUGGAUUAUUAUUGAAAUAUAAUAUUGAAGGUGGAUUUAAUUGUAAUUUUAUAAAGAUUAUUAAAAUGAUUUAAGGCUCUAUAAUAUGUACACAUCGCCC
rnacentral:rRNA from 1 species